UACGAAGGGGGCUAGCGUUGUUCGGAAUCACUGGGCGUAAAGCGCACGUAGGCGGAUUGCUAAGUCAGGGGUGAAAUCCUGGAGCUCAACUCCAGAACUGCCUUUGAUACUGGCAACCUUGAGUCCGGGAGAGGUGAGUGGAACUGCGAGUGUAGAGGUGAAAUUCGUAGAUAUUCGCAAGAACACCAGUGGCGAAGGCGGCUCACUGGCCCGGUACUGACGCUGAGGUGCGAAAGCGUGGGGAGCAAACAGG
rnacentral:rRNA from 1 species